AUUGAACGCUGGCGGCAUGCCUUACACAUGCAAGUCGAACGGCAGCGCGGGCUUCGGCCUGGCGGCGAGUGGCGAACGGGUGAGUGAUAUAUCGGAACGUACCCAAGAGUGGGGGAUAACGUAGCGAAAGUUACGCUAAUACCGCAUACGAUCUAAGGAUGAAAGCAGGGGACCGCAAGGCCUUGUGCUCCUGGAGCGGCCGAUAUCUGAUUAGCUAGUUGGUGAGGUAAAGGCUCACCAAGGCAACGAUCAGUAGCUGGUCUGAGAGGACGACCAGCCACACUGGAACUGAGACACGGUCCAGACUCCUACGGGAGGCAGCAGUGGGGAAUUUUGGACAAUGGGGGCAACCCUGAUCCAGCAAUGCCGCGUGAGUGAAGAAGGCCUUCGGGUUGUAAAGCUCUUUUGUCAGGGAAGAAAAGGUCGUGGCUAAUAUCCACGACUGCUGACGGUACCUGAAGAAUAAGCACCGGCUAACUACGUGCCAGCAGCCGCCGUAAGAC
rnacentral:rRNA from 1 species